rnacentral:rRNA from 1 species
UUAACACAUGCAAGUCGAGGGGUAGCAGGGUAGGCAAUACCGCUGACGACCGACGCACGGGUGAGUAACACGUAUCCAACCUUCCCAUAACUCAGGGAUAGCCUUUCGAAAGAAAGAUUAAUACCUGAUAGUACUUUUUCAAGGCAUCUUGAGAAGUUAAAGAUUAUUGGUUAUGGAUGGGGAUGCGUUCCAUUAGAUAGUUGGUGAGGUAACGGCUCACCAAGUCUUCGAUGGAUAGGGGUUCUGAGAGGAAGGUCCCCCACAUUGGUACUGAGACACGGACCAAACUCCUACGGGAGGCAGCAGUGAGGAAUAUUGGUCAAUGGGCGAGAGCCUGAACCAGCCAAGUAGCGUGAAGGAUGAAAGGUCCUAUGGAUUGUAAACUUCUUUUAUAGUAGAAUAAAGUGAUCCACGUGUGGAUUUUUGUAUGUAUACUAUGAAUAAGGAUCGGCUAACUCCGUGCCAGCAGCAGC